CGCUGGCGGCGUGCCUAACACAUGCAAGUCGAGCGAGAAGCUUAUGAAGGAACCUUCGGGUGACUGAUUAAGUGGAAAGCGGCGGACGGGUGAGUAACGCGUGGGUAACCUGCCCCAUACAAAGGGAUAGCCACUGGAAACGGUGAUUAAUACCAUAUGAGAUCGUAGAGUCGCAUGACUUAGCGGUUAAAGAUUUAUCGGUAUGGGAUGGACCCGCGUCUGAUUAGCUAGUUGGUAAGGUAACGGCUUACCAAGGCGACGAUCAGUAGCCGACCUGAGAGGGUGAUCGGCCACACUGGAACUGAGACACGGUCCAGACUCCUACGGGAGGCAGCAGUGGGGAAUAUUGCACAAUGGGCGCAAGCCUGAUGCAGCAACGCCGCGUGAGCGAUGAAGGCCUUCGGGUCGUAAAGCUCUGUCCUCAAGGAAGAAUAAAUGACGGUACUUGAGGAGGAAGCCCCGGCUAACUACGUGCCAGCAGCCGCGGUAAUACGUAGGGGGCAAGCGUUAUCCGGAAUCACUGGGCGUAAAGGGUGCGUAGGCGGUUUUUCAAGUCAGAAGUGAAAGGCUAUGGCUCAACCAUAGUAAGCUU
rnacentral:rRNA from 1 species